CUGGUGCGGAAUAAAAGAACUGGAGGCGUGUAUUAGAGAAAGGUCUUGGAUCAUGUUCGAUAAGCAAAAGCAGCAUUAAGCCGCAGGAUUUCUGAAGGGGAGUUUGGGAACACCUGUGGUCCCAGGAAGGGACAGGUAGCCUAUCUGCUCUCCCCUCCAGCCCGAGCACGACUCCACCGUCCGGAUACACAUUCUCCAGCUACACACCCCCUGAACACCUGCUCACAAACCCAUCCACAAAUCAUAAAGUCCUAUGGGGGUUCUGUCGUGCCCGGGUGCUACGGCGGAUUCCCCAGCGAAGCCUCCCCAAACGCAGUCAACAUCAAGUCAACUGAUGACUACAAGCGACUUUACGUCGCGCAUUCCAGUGAUUUCAUG